UGUUUUACAAUCCUCUGUUUUACGCCUACGUUCUUGUCAGAAUCCUAUAUUUUUUCUAAUCCUUUAUUUUUUUAUUCCUGUGAUUCAAAGUGGCCCUUAUAUUUUUUACUUCGUCUUUUCGCUUUUGCAUACACUUAUAAUCUAGUAUUUAAAUUUCACUCUUAAAUUCUGAGUUAAUUUUAGAGUUUUUUUAUAAGUUUAUUUUUUUAGUUUAGCUUUUAGAUUGCUAAGAAUACAUUUAAAUAAUUUUUAUUCGUAAUUUUUUUAAAUACGUCGUUUGACCUUUUUGGUAACAAACAAUCACCUUUUUAACUUUCACUCUAUGUAAUCUCUUUAUUAAAUUUAAUAAGAGAUAUUUAAGUUAUUUUUUAUAAUUAAUUUGCUUCUACAGCGUUGAAAAUGGACGAGUACCCGAGAUUGUCUAACAGUAGGCAAGGUUUACAU
rnacentral:lncRNA from 1 species